UACGUAGGGGGCGAGCGUUGUCCGGAUUCAUUGGGCGUAAAGAGCUCGUAGGCGGUUCGGUAAGUCAGGUGUGAAAACUCCAGGCUCAACUUGGAGACGCCACCUGAUAUUGUCGUGACUAGAGUCCGGUAGGGGAGCAUGGAAUUCCUGGUGUAGCGGUGAAAUGCGCAGAUAUCAGGAGGAACACCAGCGGCGAAGGCGGUGCUCUGGGCCGGAACUGACGCUGAGGAGCGAAAGCGUGGGGAGCGAACAGG
rnacentral:rRNA from 1 species